ACCUCUGUGGCUCAGUGCGUCAGUGUGUUUGGCUGUUAACCAGAAGGUUGGCGGUUCGAGCCCUCCCAGGGACA